rnacentral:rRNA from 1 species
UUGACCUCGGAUCAGGUAGGGAUACCCGCUGAACUUAAGCAUAUCAAUAAGCGGAGGAAAAGAAACCAACCGGGAUUGCCUCAGUAACGGCGAGUGAAGCGGCAAGAGCUCAAAUUUGAAAGCUGGCCCCUCCGGGGUCCGCAUUGUAAUUUGCAGAGGAUGCUUCGGGUGCAGCCCCCGUCUAAGUGCCCUGGAAUGGG